UUCUUGUGGACUAGUGGUUUGAGCAUCCACCUCUGAUGUGGGAGGUCGCAGGUUCAAACCCCAGCCAAGUCAU